CAAAGUAUAGCUUAACUAAAAGCAUUCGGCUUACACCCGAAAGAUUUCAAUUAUAUUGACUGCUUUGA
rnacentral:tRNA from 1 species